rnacentral:rRNA from 1 species
CACGUAGGCACCAAGCGUUGUCCGGAUUUAUUGGGCGUAAAGAGCUCGUAGGCGGUUCGGUAAGUCGGGUGUGAAAACUCUGGGCUCAACCCAGAGCCGCCACCCGAUACUGCUGUGACUUGAGUUCGGUAGGGGAGCGGGGAAUUCCUGGUGUAGCGGUGAAAUGCGCAGAGAUCAGGAGGAACACCAGUGGCGAAGGCGCCGCUCUGGGCCGAGACUGACGCUGAGGAGCGAAAGCGUGGGGAGCGAACAGG